GACAGAGGGUGCAAACGUUGUUCGGAAUUACUGGGCGUAAAGAGCUCGUAGGCGGUCUGUCGCGUCGAAUGUGAAAAACCCGGGGCUCAACCCCGGGGCCUGCAUUCGAUACGGGGCAGACUAGAGUUCGGUAGGGGGAGUCUGGAAUUCCUGGUGUAGCGGUGAAAUGCGCAGAUAUCAGGAGGAACACCAGCGGCGAAGGCGGCGCUCUGGGCCGGAACUGACGCUGAGGAGCGAAAGCGUGGGUAGCAAAACAGG
rnacentral:rRNA from 1 species